AGUGGAGUUAGCUCGGCAGGGUUCCUCCUUGCCUGCCUGCCACUCUGGUCUUGGCUCAGUCUGGAAAUCCAAGAACAGAAAUAGAUGAUGCUUCCUGGCGCGGCGCUGAGGUACAUGGACGCGCCAACUGCCGCCGUUGCUGAUCCAGACGGUGGUACUACUCCUAGAUCACAUCGUUUUCCAACGAACGCUCCGACGUGUAAGCAAGCGACGCUGCCGUCACCACUCACCCGGUCCAUUCCCGUCCAUGGUUGCGGCCCUUCGGGUGCAAGAUUGCCUCCCCUCCACGCGCGUUUCUUGCGUCUCCUCCGCGCCGAUCCGUCCCCGCGCACGCACCGCAGCAAACCAAAAAAGAGCCGCGAUUUUUCUCAGAAAAGAAUCCCCCUUCCUGUUCUUCGCCGGCCAAAAUCACCACUCACCCACCUUCUGUCGUCUCCGAGCUCUCGGAGUGCGUUGUCGCCGUCGCGUCGCUUGUAAGCCUGUUGCUUAACCAUCUCGCCUUGCUCCGGCUAUGAUUGGCGGUUCUUGGAGGCUUUCUUGUUCCUUCCCCUAUAUUUAUUAUGCGCCCGGGGUGCGGUGGCAGUCGGGCGUUGACGGCUAAGGAGUGACUGGUGAGUGAAUUUUUAGGGGGAAGAGGAAUGGCGCGAGGCGUGGCGGCGGCGGUGUCGGCGUUGGGGGUCGUGGCGGUGCUCUUGACCGCCGCCGCGGCGAAGGUCUGCACGAACACGUUCCCGUCGUCGGAUUCGGUGGCGACCCACGCGGAGCGCGCCGCGGGGCAGCUGCGGCUGCCUGCCGGGCUCGCCGGCCGUGGCCACGGUCACGGGCACGCCCACGAGCAGCACCUCACCCCGACCGACGAGUCCGCCUGGAUGGAGCUCAUGCCGCGGAGGCUCCUAGGCGGCGGCGGCGGCGGCACCCCGCCACGCGUGGCGUUCGACUGGCUGAUGCUCUACCGCAAGCUCCGGGGCGGCGCUGCCGCCGUGGACGGCCCCGCGGGUCCGUUCCUCUGGGAGGCGUCGCUGCACGACGUGCGGCUCCAGCCGGGGACCCUGUACUGGCAGGCCCAGCAGACCAACCUGGAGUACCUGCUCCUCCUGGACACCGACCGCCUCGUCUGGAGCUUCCGCACGCAGGCCGGCCUGACGGCGACCGGGACGCCCUACGGCGGGUGGGAGGGGCCCAACGUCGAGCUCCGGGGACACUUCGUCGGGCACUACCUGAGCGCCACGGCCAAGAUGUGGGCGAGCACGCACAAUGACACCCUCCGUGCCAAGAUGUCGUCCGUCGUCGACGUGCUAAACGAUUGCCAGAAGAAGAUGGGCACAGGGUACCUGUCAGCCUUCCCAUCAGAGUUCUUCGACCGCACUGAAGCCCUCACUACUGUUUGGGCUCCUUACUACACAAUCCACAAGAUUAUGCAAGGUCUUCUUGAUCAGUAUACAGUGGCUGGAAACUCCAAGGCCCUUGAGAUGGUUGUGGGGAUGGCUAACUACUUCAGUGACCGGGUGAAGAAUGUCAUUCAGAAAUACAGCAUCGAGAGGCACUGGGCAUCGCUCAAUGAGGAGACUGGUGGCAUGAAUGAUGUGCUAUACCAGCUCUACACAAUAAUGGAUGAUCUGAAGCAUUUGACACUGGCCCACCUCUUUGACAAACCGUGCUUUCUCGGUCUGCUUGCAGUUCAGGCUGAUAGUAUUUCAGGUUUCCAUUCCAAUACGCAUAUUCCAGUUGUCAUUGGUGCCCAAAUGAGAUAUGAAGUCACCGGUGAUGCUCUUUACAAGGUAAAGCAAAUCAUGCUUUCUGGAGAGUUGAACUACUCACUCAUUGAUGGAGAAAAUUAUAUGAGGGGAUAUGAGUGCAAGCAUAAAAGUUAGCAGCAAAUUGCAACAUCCUUUAUGGACAUGAUAAAUUCUUCUCAUAGCUAUGCAACUGGUGGGACAUCUGCCGGCGAAUUCUGGGCCGAUCCAAAGUGUUUAGCUGCGACUCUGAGUACUGAAAACGCGGAAUCUUGCACUACCUACAAUAUGCUCAAGGUUUCCCGCAACUUAUUCAGAUGGACAAAGGAAAUAGCAUAUGCGGACUAUUAUGAAAGGGCACUGAUAAAUGGUGUGUUAAGCAUCCAGAGAGGGACGGAUCCCGGAGUGAUGAUUUACAUGCUACCCCAGGCACCUGGACGGUCUAAAGCAGUAAGCUAUCAUGGUUGGGGAACCAAGUAUGAUUCGUUCUGGUGCUGUUAUGGAACAGGUAUAGAAUCCUUUUCGAAACUUGGCGAUUCUAUUUACUUUGAGGAGAAAGGAGACACACCAGCACUCAGCAUCAUUCAGUACAUACCAAGCACUUUCAACUGGAAAACAGCUGGGGUUACUGUUACCCAACAACUGGAGCCCCUCAGCUCCUCGGAUAUGAACUUUCGAGUUUCACUCUCUGUUUCCGGGAAGACAAAUGGUCAGUCUGCUACAUUGAAUGUGAGAAUACCAACAUGGACAUCUGCCAGUGGCGCAAAAGCAACUUUAAAUGACAAAGAUUUGGGAUCAGUAACUCCAGGCUCUUUACUCUCAGUCACCAAACAGUGGAGCUCAAACGAUCACCUAUCACUGCAAUUCCCAGUUGCCCUAAGGACCGAAGCAAUCAAAGAUGACCGGCCGGAGUAUGCAUCUCUUCAAGCAAUUCUAUUCGGGCCAUUCGUUCUUGCGGGUCUCUCCUCCGGUGAUUGGGAUGCAAAAACCGGCAGUGCAGUUUCGGACUGGAUCACUGCAGUACCUUCAUCACACAACUCACAGCUGAUGACCUUCACACAAGAAUCAAGUGGGAAGACAUUCGUCCUGUCAAGCUCAAACGGCUCCCUGACAAUGCAAGAACGGCCUGCAGUCGAUGGUACAGACACCGCCGUCCACGCGACAUUCAGGGUGCAUCCUCAGGACGCAGCAAGGCUGCACGGCACCUACGGCGCAGCCCUGAAAGACACCUCUGUGCAGAUCGAGCCAUUCGACAUGCCAGGAACGGUGAUCACCAAUGACCUCACCUUGUCCGCACAAAAGAGCGCCGGUUCCUUCUUCAACAUAGUACCCGGGCUCGACGGGAAGCCAAACUCGGUUUCGCUCGAGCUCGGGACCAAACCAGGGUGCUUCUUGGUGUCUGGGGCAGAUUACUCUGCCGGGACAAAGAUCCAGGUCAGCUGAGGCAGUACCACCCAAUAAGCUUCGUCGCCAGGGGGGUAAAGAGGAACUUCCUCCUGGAGCCGUUGUACAGCCUGAGGGACGAAUUCUACACGGUUUACUUCAACCUUGGGGCCUGACGCCGCAAGAUCACUUGCGCCUUGGCACAAACAAACCCAGAAUAAUACACGCCCCUUUUUUUCUCAUGUAUACUGUAGUUUACAACAGGCAAUAGAAGAGGAAAUGAGUUUGUUUCUUCUGGAAUACUAUGAAAUUACAGCUAAAUGCGAUAGUAUGGUUUCUUUGCUGAGUAAAGUUACUUCUGGUUGUGUUAAUUUUAUUGUUUUCAGAUGAACAAACCAUGAUGUGCAUAUAUAUGUUGAAAAUGCUUCUAAAAGGUUAACUGCAUCCUUCAG
rnacentral:rRNA from 1 species